rnacentral:lncRNA from 1 species
ACUGGCUGCUAUGAGUAGGACCAUUUUUAUUUUAGGAAUAAAUUUCUAAGAGAAACUUAGAAGGCAGGACAUCUUAGAGGUUGACUGGACCAAACCUCUCCCAGGGCAGGCAGUCCUACCAAGCCUUGCUUGUAAACUCCCACAGUUGAGGAGUUCACCCCCACCAACGGUACCAUAGGAACUCCUUCCACUAUAGCCAGGUCUGCUUGGGAGGAAGUCAAGCUGGGCUGGACCCCUCUGGGUCCUUAGCAAUUCUGGGUAGCCUUAGCAUUGCACAGCUGUAACCUUGGAUAAAUCUCCCUUAGCCUUCCAUUCUAAAAUGCUUUAGUCUCUGGACCUUCUAUAGGGUGAUUCUCUAGAAGAGAGAUUAGGAGCUUUUUGGUUGGCUCUUUUGUCCCGAGCCCAGGUGAUCACCUUUGUUCCUUGUGCUCUCUGUGAUAACAGAGUAGCACUUGCUGACAGUACUUUGUGCCUUUUCCAUUUUCUCCUUUGGAAAACAACUGAGAAACCAGCUGGAUCUGACUGCCUCCCUAGCCUGCCACUUUCCAGUCCUCCAGGGGUAGAAGGCCCUCUUUGCCUCCUCCCUGGACAAGGGCCUGGUAGAAAGCCCUGGAGGAGGGGCCUUGUGAGCUGGCUGUUGUCAUGGCAACAGCAGCCCUGGAAUUUGACCACUGGGGCCCAGGGGUGGGGGUGGGGAGUUGGUACAGGCCGUGCUGGGGCAGGAGGAGGGUCCAUAGGCCUAGGAAAGCCAAGAAUUGCAAGGCAGGGAAAGGGGUCAUAGCUCCUCCAUGGCCUCAGUUUUCCUAUCUGUAAAGGGGAAAAGGCAUGGACCUCAAGAUAUCACUUUCUGGUUCUAAUCAAUGGUGGAGGCAGCCAGGGAACUCUUGGCAUGCUUGGAUCCAGAAGGCUGACAGAGGACUUGCCCCACCCACCUGCUAUGCCAAGCUACACCCCUCCCUUGCUCCUCUUCCAGGGCCCCAGAGCCACAGCACAGACCUGGUCCCAAGCAUCCAGGAAACAACUAUCAAAAGGGUUCUUUGCCUCUCGCCUCAGGACCCACCAUGCACAUGGUGAGCAAGGCUGCCUGAAGUUUGCCUACCAAUCACUCCCCAGCUCCGGAGCACCCGUGAAUCCCCGAGCCACAUCUGGGACUCCACUUCACAGAUGGGGAAAGCGAGGCAGAGUAACUUGUCUUAAAUCAGUGGCAGGAAGGCAGCACAGCCUGUCCUUCCCUUCCUCCAAUGCUCGCUAUAUCAGGCCUCCCACAGAAAGUCCACUGGGGAUGGCAUGUGGAGCUUGGAUGUUCCCUGGGGACCCCUUGUGAGGCAAGGUCCACACGGCAUCUGCUUCCUGGAGCUCAGGCUUUCACCUCCUUGUUCCCACAGUCUGACCAUCCAUCACUGCACAGAAGAUGCCUUCUAGUGGGUGAAUGAGCUCGUCAUCCUCCAUGGCUCCCACUGCCAACGCCAUUCAUCUCAACACUGAGGUGUUCAGCCUGGCUCCUGUACACACAGCCUCUGUCCAUGUGCUCGUGCCAAACCGAGACCUCCCUGUCCUCCUGGCCUUUGACACAUACAGCAGCUUUCCUUUGCUGUCCUGGCUCAGAAUUAUUUCCUCAGAUGCCUAGUGAACCAUGCAUGUUACCUACUCUGAAGAACUCUCAGUGGCUGCCUCUAUCCAGCAGUCCAAG